AGCCCACUAGCUAGCUCAACCACCCAAACCCAACCACCCGCUAUUCAUUAACCCCCGAUAGCCUCACCGCAACCCCUAAAACAUUUUUCCUCUCUAGUAUGGGCGACAGAAAGAGACCUAGAAGCGAUAGAGAUAGUACCGCAAGGGAAAGCUGAAAGAGAGGUGAAAAAGUUCAGUAAAGCGAAGAAAAGCAGAGAUUGGCCCUCGUACCUUUUGCAUCAUGAGUUAGCCAGUAUAAGCGAGCAAGAAGCAACAUAGCCCGCCACCCCGAAACGAAGUGAGCUACUCCAGGACAGCCUAUUUUAGGGCCAACCCGUCUCUGUGGCAAAAGAGUGGGAAGAUCUUCGAGUAGAAGUGACAAACUUACCGAACUCCGUUAUAGCUGGUUGCCCGGAAAAUGGAUAUCAGUUCAGCCCCUCACCCCCCUCCACUCACACACCAUGUUAUGGUAUUAUGACAGCGACGGAGGCCAGGGAGUUAUUCACAGGGGGUACAGCCCCUCUGAACCAAGAUACAACUUUCUAAGGAGGAAAAGGAUUAUACUACAAGAGCAAGGGACCUGCGCCUCAGUGGGCCUAAAAGCAGCCACCUGGACCGAAAGCGUUAAAGCUCAAGCGCAAAACCAGCCCCCCUAUACUAAUAAGACUAUCCCAAGCCCCCAAACCUACCGGGCUUUUCUACUCAGUAGAAGAAAAAAUGCUAGCAUGAGUAACAAGAGGGUACGCACCUCUCCCGGCACACGCAUAAAUCAGCACGGACCCGCCGCCGAAGAUUAACGGACCCAACAAAAGAGGGAAGUGGCAAGAAGCAGACCGACUGGAAAAACACCCACCCCUACCCGUUAACCCCACACUGGUGUGCCCCAAGGAAAGACUAAAGGGAAAAGAAGGAACUCGGCAAACCGCAAGCCUCGCCUGUUUACCAAAAACAUCGCCUCUUGCAAACGCUUGUAGAAUAAGAGGUCGAGCCUGCCCAGUGACACUAUGUUCAACGGCCGCAGUAUUUUAACUGUGCUAAGGUAGCGCAAUCACUUGUCUUUUAAAUGAGGACCUGUAUGAAAGGCGUGACGAGGGCUUAACUGUCUCCUUUUCCCGGUCAGUGAAAUUGAUCUCCCCGUGCAGAAGCGGGGAUCGAACCAUAAGACGAGAAGACCCUGUGGAGCUUGAGACGUCAGGGCAGUCCAUGUAAACAGCCUUUCCCCCAAGGCCAACAAGCAUAAUGGGCCCUACCCUAGUGUCUUCGGUUGGGGCGACCAUGGGGAAUAUCAAACCCCCAUGAAGAAUGGGAGCACUAACGAGGGAUCUCCCCACCAAACCCACAACGCCGCUCCUAGAAACCAGAGCCCCCGCUCUGGUCAGCGGAAUAUUCGACUUAGACUGAUCCGGACUAACCGAUCAACGAACCAAGUUACCCCAGGGAUAACAGCGCCAUCCCCUUCCAGAGCCCAUAUCGCCAAGGGGGUUUACGACCUCGAUGUUGGAUCAGGACAUCCUAAUGGUGCAGCCGCUAUUAAGGGUUCGUUUGUUCAACGAUUAAAGUCCUACGUGAUCUGAGUUCAGACCGGAGCAAUCCAGGUCAGUUUCUAUCUAUGACACAUUUUCCUCUAGUACGAAAGGACCGAGGAAAAGGGGCCCAUGCUUUACAGCACGCCCAACCCCCACCUGGUGACAACAACUAAACCAUGCAACGGGGUGUGCGACCCAGGCUUAGAUAAUAGCAU
rnacentral:rRNA from 1 species